AGUUCGAUUCUGGCUCAGAUUGAACGCUGGCGGGAUGCUUUACACAUGCAAGUCGAACGGCAGCACGGACUUCGGUCUGGUGGCGAGUGGCGAACGGGUGAGUAAUGUAUCGGAACGUGCUCAGUAGUGGGGAUAACUACGCGAAAGCGUAGCCAAUACCGCAGCUGCCCUCGGGGGAAAGCGGGGACCUUUCGCCUUGCACUCUAGGAGCGGCCGAUAUCGGAUUAGCUAGUUGGUGGGGUAACGGCUCCUCACCAAGGCGACGAUCCGUAGCUGGUUUGAGAGGACGACCAGCCACACUGGGACUGAGACACGGCCCAGACUCCUACGGGAGGCAGCAGUGGGGAAUUUUGAUAAUGGGGAAACUCCUGAUCCAGCCAUCCUGGGCGUGUGCGAUGAAGGCCUUCGGGUUGGGGGUGCCACCCCCGGCAGGAAAGAAACGGCACGGAUAAUACCCCGUGCAACUGACGGUACCUGCAGAAUAAGCGGCACCGGCUAACUACGCCAGCAGCCGCGGUAAUACGUAGGGUGCAAGCGUUAAUCGGAAUUACCGGGCGUAAAGCGUGCGCAGGCGGUUCGGAAAGAAAGAUGUGAAAUCCCAGAGCUUAACUUUGGAACUGCAUUUUUAACUACCGAGCUAGAGUGUGUCAGAGGGAGGUGGAAUUCGCGUGUAGCAGUGAAAUGCGUAGAUAUGCGGAGGAACACCGAUGGCGAAGGCAGCCUCCUGGGGAUAACACCGACGCUCAUGCACGAAAGCGUGGGGAGCAAACAGGAUUAGAUACCCUGUAGUCCACGCCCUAAACGAUGUCAACCGCUGUUGGGGCCUUCGGGCCUUGCAGCGCAGCCAACGCGUGAAGUUGACCGCCUGGGGAGUACGAAGUCGCAAGAUUAAAACUCCGUGCGCGAAUUGAUUUCUGGGACCCGCACAAGCGGAUGAUGUGGAUUAAUUCGAUGCAACGCGAAAAACCUUACCUACCCUUGACAUGUCUGGAAUCCCGAAGAGAUUUGGGAGUGCUCGCAAGAGAACCGGAACACAGGUGCUGCAUGGCUGUCGUCAGCUCGUGUCGAGAUGUUGGGUUAAGUCCUGCAACGAGUAACCCUUUGCUGGCUGUUACGAAAAGGCACUCUAAUGAGACUGCCGGUGACAAACCGAGGAAGGUGGGGAUGACGUCAAGUCCUCAUGGCCCUUAUGGGUAGCUUCACACGUCAUACAUCGGUCGGGACAGAGGGUCGCCAACCCGCGAGGGGGGAGCCAAUCCCAGAAACCCGAUCGUAGUCUCGAUCGCAGUCUGCAACUCGACUGCGUGAAGUCGGAAUCGCUAGUAAUCGCGGAUCAGCAUGUCGCGGUGAAUACGUUCCCGGGUCUUGUACACACCGCCCGUCACACCAUGGGAGUGGGUUUUACCAGAAGUAGUUAGCCUAACCGUAAGGAGGGCGAUUACUUACGGCAGGAUUCAUGAUUUGGGUGAAGUCGUAUUUGAAGGGGUAA
rnacentral:rRNA from 1 species